ACGUUGCCAAGUCACUAAAAUCUCAAUAUUUGACACCAAUUUGACAAUUGACAGAUUAUCUUUUAAAAAUAAAUGUAAAUAGUUAUGAACAAAACAAAGUCGGGAACAAUGGAUUAAUGGAUAUGUAAAAGCCAUAAGGAGAACAGAACUAAAAUUAAAAUAUGAAAGAAUAUGCAAUAAACAUUGUAUAAAAGUGGAAAGCCAGCCACUUUAAAAAGAUAUUCCAAACUAAAACAUGGGUUACCAAAGCAGGCAAUAAAAAGAAAAGGUGAUCUAGAAUGCAAGAGAAGAGCUGAUGAAAUGUAAAGAAAAUAAUGAAGAGACUUCUCUCGACCAUGAACAAACACCAGCUAUUUUAUAUAUGUAGAAAAAGGAAAAACUGCUGGAACUUUACUUUAAAGGCUUUUGACUAGUGAAGAUUUGGAUAAACAACAGGAGUUACUUUGGGCUAUAGCUACGUGCAAAUUUAUUUUCUUGUGGCUUCCUAUGUUUAUUCUUAUUAACUAUAUCUACACUUUGAUAUGUUUUUAGUCGCAUGAAGAUUUUAUAGUUUAUUAUUUUAUGUAUAUUGUUAUAUUUGUGUUGAAUAAACAUUAUUAUUAUUAUUA